rnacentral:misc_RNA from 1 species
GAUGAAGAACGUAGUGAAAUGCGAUACUUGGUGUGAAUUGCAGAAUCCCGUGAACCAUCGAGUCUUUGAACGCAAGUUGCGCCCGAAGCCAUUAGGCCGAGGGCACGCCUGCCUGGGUGUCACACGUCGUUGCCCCCCCAUCUACUCCUUCGGGAUUGCGGGGGGCGGAUGAUGGCCUCCUGUGCGCCUCGUCGCGCGGUUGGCAUAAAUGCCAAGUCCUCGGCGACGCACGCCACGACAAUCGGUGGUUGCGAAACCUCGGUUGCCCGUCGUGUGCGGUCGUCGCGCAUCGAGGGCUCGAAAAAAUUGCCGGGCUCCGGCUCGGCUUUCAACGCGACCCCAGGUCAGGCGGGGUUACCCGCUGAAUUUAAGCAUAUCAAUAAGCGGAGGA